rnacentral:tRNA from 1 species
GGGACAGAAGCUUAACACAAAGCGUUACUCUGUAAAAGUAAAGAUGAGAAUGUAUAAUAAAUCUCCUUUCCCA